GGCCUGGUAGCUCAGUUGGUAGAGCAGCGGACUGAAAAUCCGCGUGUCGGUGGUUCAAUUCCACCCUAGGCCACCA
rnacentral:tRNA from 1 species